UUAUUUGAACAUUCUCUUUUAAAAUACUAUAAUAUUUAAUAUUGCAUAUUAACAUUAAAUGGGGCCGGUCUUAUUUCACAUUAGUUGCUCAGCAAAAGGGCCGAAUUCACUUUCACAAACUGGUGCCAGUGAAGUGAAGGACUUUUUUUCCGAAACGAAAUCUUGUUGCACCUGAAAACAUUGCCAAUUCAAUAAACUCGAGUAUUGGUUUAAUAGAAUUUUUUCCACCAAUAACAAAUGUCUUUGUUCAAAAACGUUGAUGAAUAACUUGAAAUGGUGUGAUGUGCUGAAUCAUUCAAGAAAUCGGACAAUGGUAUACUCAAAUAUCAAAAGAUAUAAAUGAAGAAAGAAAAAGAAAAAUCGAAGAAAAUCACGUAACGCGUCGUAGUGUUAUUUAACUUCGAUUAAACGUGUUCUUUUGCAUCGAAUCACCGAGUCGAUUCGCACGAUAUCCAUAGUCAUUUCUUUUCCGGCCAGUCGUGGUAUCAGAACUUUCACGCUCGAAAUGUUGGCCAGCCAUUGCGAAAUCAGAUGAUAUUUACACAACCGUGCCGACUUUUCUCACUCGUUCACUUUAAUAAACACGGGCUAAUUAUCGUAGAAAUUUUAACUAUUAUAACAAUUCUUGCAGGAAGAAUUGCAGUUGGAUUACAUAUCGGAUGGGUCAUUAGUAUUCCUCAAGGUCGUGAUCGUCAGAAUAUAUACCAUACAUGCUACGUCUGUGUAAGAUAGAUCUCGAGAGAGGGUGUAUUUUGCUGGUAUGCGCAUCUUAAUUAAAUACAUUUAUCGUUCAAUGCGUUUCACAAAUAAGAAAUCCGAGUAUGUGAUUUAUUUUUGGAAGAUAAUUUAAUUCGUAUUACAAUGUCGAAUAAAUAAAAAUCUAUUUUACGAAACGAUUUUGCAAGUGGAAAAAUUUUGAUGAGAAAUAUAAAAAAAAAUUUUUUAAAUAGGUUUAUGGGUUGAGUUAUUGCCUUGAUAAAAUAUGGUUAUUAAAGAUUGAGUAAUUG